GUUAGGUCCGGGAUGAAUCCUAAUCUGGUUAGACAUCUAUGGGUGAGAAAUGUGGAUGUGGGACUGAGACCAGCU